rnacentral:rRNA from 1 species
AACGAACGCUGGCGGCAGGCUUAACACAUGCAAGUCGAACGCCCCGCCAGGGGAGUGGCAGACGGGUGAGUAACGCGUGGGAACAUACCCUUUUCUACGGAAUAGCUCUGGGAAACUGGAAUUAAUACCGUAUACGCCCUACGGGGGAAAGAUUUAUCGGGGAAGGAUUGGCCCGCGUUGGAUUAGCUAGUUGGUGGGGUAAAGGCCUACCAAGGCGACGAUCCAUAGCUGGUCUGAGAGGAUGAUCAGCCACAUUGGGACUGAGACACGGCCCAAACUCCUACGGGAGGCAGCAGUGGGGAAUAUUGGACAAUGGGCGCAAGCCUGAUCCAGCCAUGCCGCGUGAGUGAGGAAGGCCUUAGGGUUGUAAAGCUCUUUCACCGAUGAAGAUAAUGACGGUAGUCGGGGAAGAAGCCCCGGCUAACUUCGUG